AGUAGCCUAGAAAUAGACAUCCUUGGGACCUGAAAUCAAGCAUAUGAGUGUGGAGAACGAAACAUGUUGGAUAUUACAGUGUGCUGGUGGAGGAAGAGGAAGAAAAGUGUGAGAGUGAGAAAUGAGUGAUGCAGUGAAAGCGAAAGAAGAAGAAGAAGAAGAACAUGAAAUGUUGGUGGUGGAAGAAGAAGAAGAAGAAGAGAAGAGGAAGGAGCGAAGGCGCAGGGUUUUGAGGGUGAAAUGGGUGGUGUCUAAGGUGCGCCACAUCUUUUGUUUUGGGUUGCAGUCACAACACACAAACAAGGAGGGUGAGAGUGUGAGACGAUCAUACACUUCAAC
rnacentral:lncRNA from 1 species